rnacentral:lncRNA from 1 species
UGAAACCUAGGAGGCGGUUCUUGUUGGCAAACACAAAUGGUUCUAGUCCUUUUUCUUUCAUCAAAAUUUAUUGGCAGCGACUAUGUGCCCGUGCUGUUGUAGGUUACUCUUAAGACCCCUGUGCUCUGGAGGCCUGGCCUCUGAGGCUUAGGACCUGCCCGUGUAAAGUCAGGUACGAAGCAGAAACUUCAGCUCCAGUAUGUUUUGUAUUUCUAUCUCUGUCUCUUUUUACUUCUACAAAAUGCCAUCUCAUCCCUUAAAUCAUGGCACCGAGAAUGAAAUACACACUCAAAGGAGAUUUGUUUCUGACCACACGAAAAGGCUCUCCCCGCUCUUUUUUGUGUUUAAAUGAUUAGGAACCUAAAGUGGAAGUUCGGAUAAUUAAUUCAAGACUCCAUGAAGUGUACAGGCGAAGAUCAUCUCUUUCCGGCCCUGCUGCGGACACUAGUGCAGUGAGCAGAUGCCUUCUCAGUUCCGCAGCCGCCCUCUGAGCCGUCUGAUUCCUCCACGUGGACCUGGGUUUCCACACAAGCAACGAGGAAGGCAGAGCCACACACACUGCGGAUAAAAAGAGUAUUUUCAUCUAACGUUCUGCGGAGGCCCAUGGUUGGAGGGAGUGACAGCCGCGCCUUCCCGUGAAGGGAAUGGAGUAGGUGCCACACAAUGGGCGUGCCCACCGGAGACCCGAGCAAGAGUGAAUGAUUUUCAAAUUAACCUCCUCGUUCUUCACCUUCCUCAGGAACACGCUACUCAUGAUCACACAGGACCCUCACCCUUUGAGACGCCGUCUGCCCAGACACACUGCUUGCUAGAUAUGAGGAGCUGUGGGUCCCCAGAGAUCACACAAGAUCCUCACCCUCUCAGAUGCCGUACACCCGGACGCACUGCCUGUUGGAUGUGAGCAGCUGCGGGUCCCCAGAAAUCACAAGGGACCCUCACCUGCGAGUUCAGAGAUCACACAGGACCCUCACCCUCUGAGAUGCCGUCCACCUGGACGCACUGCUUGGUGGAUGUGAGCAGCUGUGGGUCCCCAGAGAUCAUACAGGAUCCUCACCUGCGGGUCCCCAGAGAUCACACAGGAUCCUCACCCGCGGGUCCCCAGACAUCAUGCAGGACCCUCACCCUCUGAGAUGCCAUCCGCCUGGACGCACUGCUCGCUGGAUAUGAGGAGCUGUGGGUCCCCAGAGGUCACACAGGAUCCUCACCUGUGGGUCCCCAGAGAUCAUGGGGGAUCCUCACCCUCUGAGACGCCAUCUGCCCGGACACACUGCUUGGUGGAUGUGAGCCUGCGGGUUCCUGGUUUCUGCCCAGCUGACAUGUGGUGGUUCUCAGCGAGGCUGCUCGGGCGCUGUAGGCUGGGUGCCCCAUCCUCCAGCGGCUGUCAUGUGGCCAUGGGUGGGUCACAGCCACGCGUGUUCCCAGUGUGAUGAGCCGAUGGGUGGGCUGCUCUCUGCCCACACCCGGCUGGCCCAGGCCGUUGUCUUGCCCUGAGGACUGGCCCUGUGGUGUCCUGAGUGGCAGGGCCAAGGGCUCUGCUUCUUCCUGUGCUGAGGUGGUCACCCCGUGACAGGUUCUGUCUGCAGCGCACACCCUCCAGGAGGCACCUGCCCCCCAGCCCCUGCCUCAGGCCCCGCUUCCUGGAGCCCAGCCUAAGACAUCGGUGGCCAGGACGGCAAGGACCUGAGACACAGUGCCAGCCACAGCAGCACUCCUGCCUGAGUGGGGUCUGGAUGUUCCGGGAGGGCCCUUGUCUCAGACUCCCCCAGACCUUUCUCGACAAAUGAAGCUUCAACCUCUGGUUUGCCAGGUGAUGGUUAGGCAGCCUGGUCUCACAGCUGCUGGACUCCCUGGAUCACUGUGGCCUCAGUGUGGACAGUGGAGCCUCACGACCCUCUCUGUUUUUCUUUGCUUUUGUCAGGUGUGGGUGUGAGAUGGCCCAGACUUGGGCCACAGCCACAAGCUUCUGUGACUCACGCAACUCAAGAGCACUGUAGUGGGGUCUCACCGCAGAAGCCAUCUGGGAAUGCUCUUGACUUGGGGUGUGUGCGUGUUUUCCCAUUUUGAAGAAUAAGGUCAAUUUUAAAAUUUUCUGACACUUUCUCGCUUUGCCAAUUUUUGAUGGCAAAAUUUUAGUCUCCAGCCUCUCCUUUCUACUUCAGAAGCUUGUGUGUUGCUUGUCUCAGCUGUUAGUGGAUAUGGGUUCUGAAAAUGGUAAUUAAUUUUAACAAUAGCUUAAGUAAGCCAGACAUUAAUCAUAAUUGGCAAAGGAAAUAUGCUGUAAAGUAUUAUAUAAUCUAAGAUAAAACAGGAGCAAUUUUUGCAUAAUUUGUUAUUUUGUACUGCCUGUGUUAUCAUUAGCACAGUGAUUAAGAAUUAACUGAAAUUACUCAAAUUACCAGAAAUAAUUCAAUUAUCGAUAAUUGUAUAUCGAUGUAUAAUAACAUAUACAACCAAACACUUAGGUGAUUUGCUCAGGAUACAUUUCACAACUUGUUUUUCCAUCAAAAUAUUUUUGACUCACAGUUGAAUUCUCAGUACUUCCAUCAAUUAAAUGGAAAAGCAAAUUAAUUGUAGUGUGGGAAUCUCUGGGAGUAUUUCUUGCUUUUUCUCUUUUACUAAUGUACUUGUUCUUCAGUAAAUAGAUUGGAUAGUUUGUUACUUCCAGAGGAAGACAGUAACCACCAAUAGACAGGAAAAUGUACCUCUGGUUUACCAAACUUAGUCAUAGUCACAUUACAGAGUUAAUUCUAUAAUGUUGUGAAAAACACCUGUGUCACAAAAAUGUUAAUGAUCUCUUGACUGCAUAGAUGAGUUGCGUUCCGGAGUCUUAAGUUGCUUUCUAAAUACUAAUUAAUUAAACCCAAGCUUUCUGUGUCAGGCGAUUACUCACUUUUGUCCUUUCCUUAGUCUACCCAAGCUGAAUUUCUGAUAAUAUGGUAAGACAAGAAUGAAACAUAACCCAAAACAUAAGCUUCCAGCCACGGUUCUGUGUGGAAAUUGCAGCUUAGGAAGAUUUUGUCACAAUGAGAUGGUAACCCCUGCUUCCCCCGGCCAUACAGAGGAUUGAAGAUGUAAGUACCUGGGGGACGCCAGCCACAGUGUUUUACCACCUACUCUUCCAGUAGCUUUGGAAAAGGAAAAAAAAAAGUCACAGAAUUGGGGCACACAGGGGAGAGUGCAGCAUGAACAAUUUUCCAUUAAUCUGAUAAAGAGGGAGGUAGUCUAGGUGCAGCUCUGAGAUGCAUUUCUGCAGGGGAGCCACUCCCUGAGAGCUUUGUGUUUCCUUCCUGUUAGCGAUCUCAUG